rnacentral:rRNA from 1 species
GACAGAGGUUGCAAGCGUUGUUCGGAAUUACUGGGCAUAAAGCGCACGCAGGCGGACGCGCGCGUGGGGUGUGAAAUCUGGCCGCUUAACGGCCAGGCGCCAUCCCAUACGGCGCGUCUGGAGCCUUGCAGAGGUCGGUGGAAUUGCCGGUGUAGUGGUGAAAUGCGUAGAGAUGUGGAGGAACACCGAUGGCGAAGGCAGCCCCCUGGGCUAACACUGACGCUCAGGCACGAAAGCGUGGGGAGCAAACAGG